AGAGUUUGAUCCUGGCUCAGAGCGAACGCUGGCGGCAGGCUUAACACAUGCAAGUCGAGCGGACGUAGCAAUACGUCAGCGGCAGACGGGUGAGUAACGCGUGGGAACGUACCUUUUGGUUCGGAACAACCCAGGGAAACUUGGGCUAAUACCGGAUAAGCCCUAACGGGGAAAGAUUUAUCGCCGAAAGAUCGGCCCGCGUCUGAUUAGCUAGUUGGUGAGGUAAUGGCUCACCAAGGCGACGAUCAGUAGCUGGUCUGAGAGGAUGAUCAGCCACAUUGGGACUGAGACACGGCCCAAACUCCUACGGGAGGCAGCAGUGGGGAAUAUUGGACAAUGGGCGCAAGCCUGAUCCAGCCAUGCCGCGUGAGUGAUGAAGGCCCUAGGGUUGUAAAGCUCUUUUGUGCGGGAAGAUAAUGACGGUACCGCAAGAAUAAGCCCCGGCUAACUUCGUGCCAGCAGCCGCGGUAAUACGAAGGGGGCUAGCGUUGCUCGGAAUCACUGGGCGUAAAGGGUGCGUAGGCGGGUCUUUAAGUCAGGGGUGAAAUCCUGGAGCUCAACUCCAGAACUGCCUUUGAUACUGAGGAUCUUGAGUUCGGGAGAGGUGAGUGGAACUGCGAGUGUAGAGGUGAAAUUCGUAGAUAUUCGCAAGAACACCAGUGGCGAAGGCGGCUCACUGGCCCGAUACUGACGCUGAGGCACGAAAGCGUGGGGAGCAAACAGGAUUAGAUACCCUAGUAGUCC
rnacentral:rRNA from 1 species